UACAGAGGGGGCAAGCGUUAUUCGGAAUUAUUGGGCGUAAAGGGCGCGUAGGCGGCCUGGCAAGUGGAAGGUGAAAUCCCUCGGCUUAACCGAGGAACUGCCCUCCAAACUGCUUGGCUUGAGACCGGGAGAGGUGAGUGGAAUUCCCAGUGUAGCGGUGAAAUGCGUAGAUAUUCGCAAGAACACCAGUGGCGAAGGCGGCUCACUGGCCCGAUACUGACGCUGAGGCACGAAAGCGUGGGGAGCAAACAGG
rnacentral:rRNA from 1 species